rnacentral:lncRNA from 1 species
AUUUUGAUUAACGAUCGUAUUUAUUCGAUUGACAUUUUAGUUAAUGUUCUACUAAAAGAAAUGGCUGAAAUAUAUUAUUUUUAUAAUGACAAUAAAAUAGAAAAGGAAAACAAAUUGUUUUUAAAAAAUGACUUUACUAGCGCUUAUCUGCCUAUCGUUUUUAAAUAUUCCAAAAAUUAUUUAAAAAACGACGAGACGACUGAAAAGCCCAAGUUUGUUUUUGAGUUUGACGAACUUGGGGUACCAACCAAGCUUGAAAAAGCAGACAACGUAGGUAUGAAAGUAAACGGUGUAGGUAUGAAAGUAGACGGUGUAGGUAUGAAAGUAGACGGUGUAGGUAUGAAAGUAGAUGACGUGAUUACGCAGAGAGAUGGCGUGACUAUGAAAGCAGACGAUACAUGUGAUACCAAAACCAACGAUCACCUAUCCGAAAGAGCACGCUUCGAAGCUGAAAAAGACAAAUUCGAUUUUGAAAGUUUAAUUAACAGAAUAGCUGAAAAUGAUCAUGAUGAAAUGUUCAAAGAGAUUAUAGAAUAUAGAAAAAUAAAAUAUAAAGAUAAUACAGAAAUAACAAAAUGUUUGGAAGAGUAUUUACUUACGUAUGAAAGGGUUAAUGCGAUGAAGUAUGCACCCCCAGACGAUGUCAAAAAAGAUAGCACGUCUAAUAAGACUGACAUUAAUAGUAAGAGUAACACAGACAUAUAUGUUAACAAUAUCAACAGUGCCAACCCAGAUAACAUUACCGAGCUGACAUUCGAACCGAACGACAUAAAAACGGCAUAUCUAAACUAUAUGUACAAAUAUAUAGAAUAUAUGAUUGAAAAAAAAGAACUACCUAUAAGUUUUAAUAACGUGAAUGAUGAUUGGAUUAAUUGCUUAACCGAAUUAGAAAAUCAAAAAAUUGUAUUAUAUUCAACUAAAAAUACAAGUGGUCAUUUAUAUAAUUUAUUAAUUAACAGUAACGCAUGUUCACCUAAAAGAGCUUUAUAUAUUCUUGAACAAAGCUUACAAAAAAAAACAAAAGAUGAAAAAACAGAAGAAGCAUUAUUACAUGAUCAUUUGUUAAAAGAAUCAACUGUUUCUAGUAGCGAACAAAAAGAUUCUAUUAAAAAUUUCGAUGAGUUUGUUUUAUGGUUAAACAAAAAUAAAAAAAAAAAUUAUGAACGAUUAGAAGAUUAUAAAUUGUUACAAACACAUAAUGAUUCAUCUAAUAUUGAUAAUAGUAAUAUAAAUAAUGACAUCAAAGAAGUUAUAGACCAAUAUAAUGCAAUAUAUGAUAGUAAUAAUAAUGCAGUUAAUAAAACUAUAGACCCUAACAAUGUUACUAUAGAUAAUUUAAAAGAUUUAGUUAAAAGGCAUAACAUAUCGAAAGAAGAAAUACAAACGGCUAUAAGUCAGUUGGACAUGGCUUCUGAUUUCGACAUAGAUUCUUUAUAUGAAUAGGUUUGGAUAUUGUAGUUAAUAUUUGCUGCGUAAGUGGCUAGCAAGUGAUUAGCAAGUGGCUAGCAUGUGAUUAGC